UACGUAGGGUGCAAGCGUUGUCCGGAAUUAUUGGGCGUAAGGAGCUCGUAGGCGGUUUGUCGCGUCUGAUGGGAAAACUCGGGGCUUAACCCCGGGCCUGCAGUGGGUACGGGCAGACUAGAGUGCGGUAGGGGAGACUGGAAUUCCUGGUGUAGCGGUGAAAUGCGCAGAUAUCAGGAGGAACACCGGUGGCGAAGGCGGGUCUCUGGGCCGUAACUGACGCUGAGGAGCGAAAGCGUGGGGAGCGAACAGG
rnacentral:rRNA from 1 species